ACAACAUUCGGACCGUCGGUCUACCGAGCAAUAUCACCCGUUCGGUGGAAGAUCUUCCCUUUGUCGU
rfam:Bombyx mori DNA, contig: Bm_scaf7_contig5915, strain: p50T/Dazao, build 2, whole genome shotgun sequence.